rnacentral:ncRNA from 1 species
GCCGAGAGGGCGAGGAAUACAAUACCCGAAAGGGGAAUAACUCCAGCCGACUUACUGCGGUUUUUGAGCCUCUCGGCGCCACUCU